UACGUAGGGUCCGAGCGUUGUCCGGAAUUACUGGGCGUAAAGAGCUCGUAGGUGGUUUGUCGCGUUGUUCGUGAAAACUCACAGCUCAACUGUGGGCGUGCGGGCGAUACGGGCAGACUAGAGUACUGCAGGGGAGACUGGAAUUCCUGGUGUAGCGGUGGAAUGCGCAGAUAUCAGGAGGAACACCGGUGGCGAAGGCGGGUCUCUGGGCCGAUAUUGACGCUGAGGAGCGAAAGCGUGGGGAGCGAACAGG
rnacentral:rRNA from 1 species